rnacentral:rRNA from 1 species
CCUACGGGAGGCAGCAGUGAGGAAUAUUGGUCAAUGGACGAGAGUCUGAACCAGCCAAGUAGCGUGAAGGAUGACUGCCCUAUGGGUUGUAAACUUCUUUUAUAAGGGAAUAAAACGAGGCACGUGUGCCUUUUUGCAGGUACUUUAUGAAUAAGGAUCGGCUAACUCCGUGCCAGCAGCCGCGGUAAUACGGAGGCUCCGAGCGUUAUCCGGAUUUAGUGGGUUUAAAGGGGGCGUAGAUGGGUUGUUAAGUCAGUUGUGAAAGUUUGCGGCUCAACCGUAAAAUUGCAAUUGAUACUGGCAGUCUUGAGUACAGUUGAGGUACGCGGAAUUCGUGGUGUAGCGGUGAAAUGCUUAGAUAUCACGAAGAACCCCGAUUGCGAAGGCAGCUUACUAAACUGUGACUGACAUUGAGGCUCGAAAGUGUGGGUAUCAAACAGGAUUAGAUACCCUUGUAGUC